GCUGAUUCUUGUGACGCCUGGUGGUGUGCGCUUCUCGGAUUUUGUCUCAUCGAUGCAACUCUGGAUGCUGAAGAAUUGACAUGCAGUGCAGCAUCUGUGGCCAACCAGGUUUCGGUGGCAUAUGUGUUUGGUUGUGUCCGUUUUGAAACGGACUGUUUAGUCGCUGCAAUGCAUUAAAAAUAGGUAUAACAAACAACAACAAAAACAACUGGGUAGGAUAUUGUUUGUCAGAGAACGUCGUUGCAACAAAGCAGAUUGUUGUAGAUGUGGCGUGUCUCGAGAGAAGCGAACCGAAGAGGAAGGAUUUGAGAGAAGUAGGUACAUGGAUUUUCUUAUGCAGCUUCACUUGGCUUCGUUCUGGACACCUAAGCUAGGAGUUGUUUAAGAUUACCACCAACUGCGUGUGAGUGUGGUACCUCUGCAAAUUGAGUUUCUAGGAUUUCUGUCUGGGAAUUCCGCAUCAUCUCACUGCAGCAGCAUGAGAUCAUCACUUGGCAUUUUCGAUUUGACUAGGUGUGAGAAGACCAAGGUUGUCCCUUGGCUUAAUUCCUGGGAAUGGCUAUAGAGGGGGUAUUAUCCAACAAGCAAUUGGCAACAACAAUACAGGGGUGCAUGUUCAUUCAUGGUCGAUCAGAACGUGGUUGAUGAUUCUUUUGAUCCACGAAGACUUUUCGCAGAUUACUGAAUUAUGUGUUCAACUUCGUUCCAC